UACGGUAGGGUGCAAGCGUUGUCCGGAAUUAUUGGGCGUAAAGAGCUCGUAGGCGGUUUGUCGCGUCUGCUGUGAAAACUCGGGGCUUAACUCCGGGCCUGCAGUGGGUACGGGCAGACUAGAGUGCGGUAGGGGAGACUGGAAUUCCUGGUGUAGCGGUGAAAUGCGCAGAUAUCAGGAGGAACACCGGUGGCGAAGGCGGGUCUCUGGACAGUUCCUGACACUGAGGCACGAAGGCCAGGGGAGCAAACGGG
rnacentral:rRNA from 1 species